GGGCACUACGGCAACGCCGCCGUGUGGAUGUCGCUGAUCCUGGGCCAGCCCGUGGCCGUGCUCAUGUACGUGCACGACUACUACGUGCUCAACUACGAGGGAUGAAAUCUGACCCGGGAUAAACCCAGGAUAAACCUGGAUAACCUGGGAUAAACCGGGAUAAACCUGGAAUAACCCGGGAUAAACCCCCAACCCACCCAGAGCCCCCCAGCCCGUGGCCGUGCUCAUGGACGUGCACGACUGCUACAUGCUCAACUACGAGGGAUGAACCGGGAUAAACCCGGGAUAACUGACCCGGGAUAACCCGGGAUAAACCCGGGAUAACCCAGGAUAAGCUCCCAGGGCACCCCCAAAUCCACCGAGGCACCCCAAAAACCAACCUGGGGUCCUGAGACCCCCAAAUCCCCCCAAAAAAUCCGCCCAGGACACUUUGGGAACAAACAGGGACAGACCCGGGAUAAACCCGGGAUAAACCUGGGAUAACCCGGGAUGAGCUCCCAGGGCACCCUCAGAAAUCCCGGGGUCCCCCCAAAGCUCUGGAGGGGUCUGGGGUCCCCAAAUCCCCCCAAAAAAUCCACCCAGGACACUUUGGGGACAAACCGGGACAGAGCCGGGAUAACCCAGGAUAAACCCGGGAUAACCCAGGAUGAGCUCCCAGGGGCGCCCCCAGAAAUCCCGGGGUCCCCCCAAAGCUCUGGAGGGGUCUGGGGUCCCCCAAAUCCCACCCAAAAAUCCACCCAGGACAAACCCG
rnacentral:lncRNA from 1 species